GAGGGUGGGAUCCUGCAGGAUGAGUACCCUAGACAGAUAAGGGACCCAUCUAGGUGGAGGAAACUGCAUGCAUGAAGCAGAGAGGCCUAAGUGAGCAUGGUGUAUUUGGGAGAGAGGGUCAGAGCUUGGGGAAUUGGGCCUUGACGCACUGAAUACGGGUUAAGCUGUGAAGUUAGUCCAGGGCCUAACUCUGGAAGACUUUGAACGGCAUGCAGAGAAUUUGAAUCUCAGGCAAUUAGAUCCCCAUUCUCUAGAUGAGGAAACAGGCUCACAGAAGGCAAGAGCUUUGCUGGAGCUACGCGUUUGGUAAGGAAGCUUGGGAGAUCUGCAGCCAGUCAGUGCAACCCAGUGACCACGAACUCAGUCCCUCAAGGCAGCCGAUCCAGUACAUGGAGGUCACCUCAGUGUGUCUGUCAUUGUGAUGCAGCCUGAGAGACUAAGAAGAAUCAAACUCAAGGAGGGAACUGACUUGGCCAAAGAAUAUGGACCUCUUUCUGGGGAACAGCAUCUCCUUUGGUACAAAGCCAACUGUGUCGGGCAGAGCUCUAAGCCUCAUUCUGAUGUUAUUAGCUUGGUGUUCUAAGCCAGUAACUAGCAUGUCACCUGGCAACUGAGCAGAAGAGAGGAGGCUUACGAGGUCCUGAGGGAAGCUGUUCAUGUGCAAGCUCUCUGCUGGUGACAGCAAAAUACCUCAUACAUCUAAUGGAGACUCAGUCAUCAUAGGGGAUGAAAUACCAGUACUCGCUACAGCAUGAUGGACUUUGGAAUCAUCAGGCUGAGUGUAAAAAGCCGGACACAAAAGGCCACGUAUUCAGGCGUCAGGGAAACAGUCACACAGAUAAUGGCUUCAGCUGCUGACCCGGCUGGCACCGCUGGGGCUCUCACCAUGCUUCAUUGAACAAGGCCUUCUUUCUGACGUAUGCAGCCCCAGAGACAUAGGCUGGACAAGACAGAAUGGCAGCCUGGACCUCCCUUUAGAAGAAAGAUGUGGGCUCCACUUAGAGAAGGAGCCGAGGAGAAGCCUUGGACCUGUUCAACAAGCCAAGGACCUGUUCAUCCAUGCACGGGGCCUCAGGAAGCCCCAGUGGACACAGGGAGCCUGAGGCCCUGGACUGCCAGCCUCCACCAACCAGAUGGACUCCUGUACUUCCUCCUGGGGGUGGGGGUGGCAGAGGUGGUCAGUGUCCUCUAAAAUCAUGAAAUACUGAAAGUGCUGGAAGUGAAAAAGGGAAAUAAGAAAAGCACUGUAGGCUCUCUUACUUUGGAAACUAUAAAUAGGAUAAACUCUG